UCCUCAGACAGAGCGAUCACUGAUGUUGAUGGUUGCAGAGCAACUGAAUCAGGGGUGUUUAAUAGAUUUCAACAGGAGGACAUUUACUCUAUUAGUAGCAAGGGGAGAUUUAAUAUUGCUUAAACACAAUUGUAUUGGCUAUACGUAUAGGCCUAUUUGCAGUUUUUAACCUGACAAGACCCAGGACAAACCCCCAGUAAACAUAAAUGGAAAUCCUCACGAGGCUGUUCCCCUACACAAAAACUGUGGCAGGACUGAAGACAGCUUUUACCCAAGUCCUGCGGUUUAGGGAUCCGACGGCGGAUGCCAGCAGAAGGGCCACUCAUCUUCCAUCCGUUAAUAUCCACCGGAAAAGCCAAACAUUCCGCGCGCAGCUCCGGCCACCCUUCACCUGGAGCGCGCUUAUGCAGAGGCGCAGCUCACGUGGGCUUGUUGCAGCGAAUUUGGCGGGAAUUGUUUGUCAUUUAAUGUCAGUCACGGUCGCUGAUGAACAGAGUCUUAUUAGUAAAUCACUCAGUAAUUUUAAAUGGGAUGUAAGGACGGAGGUCUUCGUCUAAGAUUAUAGCCUACAUGUAACCUUAUCGUGUUACUGAAAACGGAGAUUAAGACGAAAUUUCUUUCUUUCUUUCUUUCUUUUUAAAUGGUUUUCUAAUUGCAGUUUUGAGAAAUGAAAUGUUGUAGAGAUACCACUUGGUGUCAGUAAUGAGUCGUUUACUAGAAAGCAAUGUACAAGGAUGGAAUGGAAUAAAUGUUCUUAAUGGAAUGGAAUAACUGCUUUAUUCUUAUUUAAGGACUGUGUUAAUGCUUUAAUUGUUAAAUGUGACAAAUAAAUGUGACACAUUUUGUGUUUUAA